UACAGAGGCCUCAAGCGUUUGUUCGGAUUCAUUGGGCGUAAAGGGUGCGUAGGCGGCGCGGUAAGUCGGGUGUGAAAUCUCGGAGCUUAACUCCGAAACUGCAUUCGAUACUGCCGUGCUUGAGGACUGGAGAGGAGACUGGAAUUUACGGUGUAGCGGUGAAAUGCGUAGAGAUCAGGAGGAAUACCGGUGGCGAAAGCGACUCUCUGGACGGCAACUGACGCUGAGGCACGAAAGCGUGGGGGAGCAAACAGG
rnacentral:rRNA from 1 species